rnacentral:rRNA from 1 species
CCUACGGGAGGCAGCAGUGAGGAAUAUUGGUCAAUGGACGAGAGUCUGAACCAGCCAAGUAGCGUGAAGGAUGACUGCCCUAUGGGUUGUAAACUUCUUUUAUAUGGGAAUAAAAUGUUCCACGUGUGGGAUUUUGUAUGUACCAUAUGAAUAAGGUACGGCUAACUCCGUGCCAGCAGCCGCGGUAAUACGGAGGAUCCGAGCGUUAUCCGGAUUGAAUGGGUUUAAAGGGAGCGUAGGUGGAUUGUUAAGGCAGAUGUGAAAGUUUGCGGCUUAACCGGAAAAUUGCAGUUGAAACUGGCAGUCUUGAGUACGGUAGAGGUGGGCGGAAGUCGAGGUGUAGCGGUGAAAUGCUUAGAUAUCACGAAGAACUCCGAUGGCGAAGGCAGCCCACUGGACUGCAACUGACACUGAGGCUCGAAAGUGUGGGUAUCAAACAGGAUUAGAUACCCCAGUAGUC